rnacentral:rRNA from 1 species
AUGGGCGCACGCUCCACCUCCCUGCUUCUACUGACUUCGAUGAUCCAUCUGCUCUCGCGCGCCUCGGCCCGCGAGUUCCUCUCGCCAGGCUCCUCGCUCUCCACCGAGGACGGCUCCGGCAUGCUCCAUUCGCCAAACGGCGCCUUCACCUGCGGCUUCCACAACAUCUCCCCAAACGCCUCCGUCUUCUCCGUCUGGUUCGCCGGCACGGCCGAGAAGACCGUCGUCUGGAGCGCAAACCAUCUCCGCCCCGUCUACUCCCGGGGAUCCCGGGCCGUGUUGCACGCUGACGGCAGCAUGGUUGUGGAAGACUACGACGGCGAGCCCGCGUGGGCAAACAACGUCAGCUCCUCAUCAAAGGCCGAGCAAGCCCGGCUGCUGGACACGGGCAACCUCGUCGUCAGCGGCCAAGGUGAUGUCAUUCUGUGGCAAAGCUUUGAUUCUCCUACUGAUACGCUGCUGCCCAAUCAGAGCAUCACUGCGGCUACGAAGUUGGUGUCCGCUCAUAGGUUACUUGCUCCUGGGCGCUACAGUUUCCAUUUCGACGACGCGCAUUUGCUCUCGCUGUUUGAUGAUGAGCAGGACAUCUCUUUUAUCUACUGGCCAAAGCCUGAUCUUGCUGCCUGGGCAAGGCAAAGAAACCCAUUUAGUACCACCACCGUUGGGGUCCUUGAUAGCUGGGGGUAUUUCCUUGGGAGUGAUGAUUUGACUUUCAAGUCUGCUGACUGGGGUCCUGGGGUUAUGAGGAGGCUAACAUUGGAUUAUGAUGGCAACCUCAGAUUAUACAGUCUAGAAAACCGGAAAUGGUCGGUCACAUGGAUAGCAUUUCAGACCUGCUUCGUACACGGUCAGUGUGGUAUGAAUGGAAUAUGUGUGUAUACACCUAGGCCUGCUUGCGCAUGCGCCCCUGGACACGAGGUCAUCGACCCAAGUGACCGGAGCAAAGGCUGCCGGCCGAGGUUCAACCUCAGUUGUGAUGGGCAGGAGAUGAAAUUUGUGAAGCUACCCUCCACUGACUUCAUAGCUUAUGAUCAAAGUAAGCGCAGCUUAGUUUCCUUUGAUACUUGCAAGCAGAUAUGCAUGGAUGACUGCAGUUGCAAAGGUUUCUCAUACUGGCAAGGAGGUGGAUCCUGCUACCCAAAGUCAUCCCUUGUUGGCGGGGUAACCAGCCCAGGCUUACCUGGUUCUAUCUAUCUCAAGCUUCCAAAGACAGUACAGGUCUCAGGGUCCUCAAUUCCUCAAUCGCAGCCUUUUGGUCCCACAUAUGCUCCGAACUGUAGUGCAAAGAACAAAUAUUUCACUGCAGAUUUUCCGGAUAUACCCAAGAGCAAUCAGAGUGGAUCAAAGUAUUUGUACUUCUAUGGGUUCUUAUCAGCAAUAUUCUGUGUGGAGGUAAUAUUUGUGGCAUUAGGAUGCUGGUUUAUGGUGAGAUUGGAGGGCAAGCAGUUAACAGGAGUAUGGCCAGCUGAGGUUGGCUAUGAGAUGAUAACCAACCACUUCCGGAGAUAUACUUACAAGGAGUUGCAGAGAGCAACUCGGAAGUUCAAGUGUCAGAUUGGGAGGGGCGCAUCUGGUCUUGUGUACAAGGGGAUCUUGAAAGACAAGAGGGCAGUAGCAGUGAAAAGGUUGGCAGACAUAAACCAAGGCGAAGAAGAGUUCCAACAUGAACUGAGUGUGAUUGGAAAGAUCUACCAUAUGAAUCUGGUGAGGGUUUGGGGAUUCUGUUCUGAUGGUCCACACAGGAUAUUGGUUUUAGAGUACGUUGAAAAUGGUUCUUUGGACAAAACGCUGUUUAGUGGAAAGGCCUCACAGAUAUUACUUGGAUGGAAUGAAAGAUUUAAGAUUGCUCUAGGGGUGGCAAAAGGAUUGGCUUAUCUUCAUCAUGAGUGCCUGGAAUGGGUUAUCCACUGCGACCUCAAGCCUGAGAACAUACUGUUGGAUGGGAACUUGGAGCCAAAGAUCACCGACUUUGGCCUCGCAAAACUUCUGAAUAGGGGUGGAUCCAACAAAAGUGUAUCGCGGAUCCAUGGAACUAGAGGUUAUAUAGCUCCUGAGUGGGUUUCUAGCCUCCCAAUAACAGCAAAGGUUGAUGUCUACAGCUUUGGAGUGGUUCUCCUAGAACUACUGAAGGGGGCUCGUGUUUCAGACUGGGCGCCAAAUGCUGAUGAAGAAGUGGAAAUGGUCCUUCGAAGGGUCGUUAGGAUGCUUGCAGAAAAUCUGAUGCUGGAGGGUAGCAAACAGUUAUGGAUCGAUGACUUCAUUGACUCCAGGUUAAACCGCCAGUUCAAUGACCUGCAAGCAAGAACAAUGAUCAAGCUGGCUGUUUCAUGCGUAGAGGAAGACAGUAGAAAAAGACCCACAAUGGAAAAUGCUGUGCAGAUGCUCCUUUCAGUUGAUGAAGCCAGUGGCAUAAUGCAGCAGUAUUCUACCAACUGA